UACGAAGGGUGCAAGCGUUGCUCGGAAUUAUUGGGCGUAAAGGGCGCGUAGGCGGCCUGGCAAGUGGAAGGUGAAAUCCCUCGGCUUAACCGAGGAACUGCCCUCCAAACUGCUUGGCUUGAGUCCGGGAGAGGUGAGUGGAAUUCCCAGUGUAGCGGUGAAAUGCGUAGAUAUUGGGAGGAACACCAGUGGCGAAGGCGGCUCACUGGACCGGAACUGACGCUGAGGCGCGAAAGCGUGGGGAGCAAACGGG
rnacentral:rRNA from 1 species